CUGGUUUAGAAUGCUAGAGUAAUCCUAAUUUCUAAGGCAGUUCCCUGCCAUUGGGACGGAGACAGGGUCUUGAGUCGUAAGCUAUGAUGACCCUUCUAGGCUAACCCCUAGUCAAGCUGUAUACCGCUCCCUGCUUAUAUUGCUGUUAAGUUGGGUAGCCCACGUUGACCAUCUGCCAAAAUCGUUGUCUAAGAAACAAAAGAGGUCGUGGUUGGAUAUGUCUGAAGUUGCCAUUGUCAUGUAAACUUGCAGUGUGGGAUUUGGAUAAGGUUGGGUUUGAUAAUGUCUGGCAUACGCUUGAGAGCUUGCUAAAGGAUUCUUCUUGGUGGAGCUAAGAGACGUAUUUCGGCGUGCGGGGCGAGGACGGGAGCUAUACAUUGUCUAUUAAGUUUGAGAUGAUUUCCCUAGUUAGUGGGGGGUUAUUCUCCCCGAUUCUAGCUUCUCGGUGGAAGUUGGUGAUGUUGUAGUGCGGAGAUGUUGAGGGCACAUGGUGCCUCCUUCGGCGGUAUUAUGCGUCCAUCUAUAUUCACUUCUCUUGGGAUUGUGGCAAAGAGUUCUCCUAGUAGCGUCAUAUCUCGUGGUAGGUAGUCUGCUGGAGGGAGGAUUUCCCAAUCGGGUUUGGAGCCAAUUGCAAAGACGUUAUAUGUCGUCCAAGUUCUUAAGAGAAGUGUUUCUUGCUUUAUUAGGGUCAGCAAGUCUUUUAGGUAUUGUGGAGCUCCUUCCAUACUUCUAGGCCCACUUGUAUUGUUGUUUUCCAUUCUCUAAAUAAAAUUGCUCCAACGUGCAGUCUGAUGCGGUUAGAAUCAUGGUUGCAUUUGGCUCUCCAAGUAUUCUAGAGGAGAGUUUUGAAUUUCAACCAGGGCGUGUCUUUAUAAACAGACACAAUAUCUGUGAAUUUACUCAA